rnacentral:lncRNA from 1 species
GAGCCAUCCCCGUUGGACACGAUGCUGGAACCGGGCUGUCGUGGUGGCAUACGGUUUAUUAAUUGCUCGUUAGCUGCAGCGCUUCGUUUGGCAUGCGUGCGUGCGGGCAGGCGCGAGGCGGAGUUGUGCCAGCAAUGACCAGCUCGGAGACACGACAAGUUACCGCAUGGUAGAAAAGUACAAACACACACGGGACGUGCCAUGGCAGCCGGGCGCUGGGCUAUGUACAGAGCAGGGCAGGACGGCGGGAGCCAGGGAAGCCAGAGGCACGCCGGAGCCGGAGGAUGCUGGAGGCACGCCGGAGCCGGAGGAGGCUGGAGGCAUGCCGGAGCCGGAGGAUGCUCGAGGCACACCAGGGAUGCUGGAAGCACACCGGAGCUGGAGGAUGUUCGAGGCGCACCAGAGCCGGGGAUGCUGGAGCCGGAGAUGCUGGAAGCACGCCUGAGCCGGAGGAUGCUCGAGGCGCACCGGAGCCGGGGAUGCUGGCACCAGGGGUUGCUGCAAGAUGUGCCGGAGCUGGAGGAUGCUCGAGGCACGCUGGAGCCGGGGAUGCCGGAGGCAUGCCAGAGCCGGAGGAUGCCCGAGGCAUGCUGGAGGCAGGGGAUGCCGGAGGCGCACUGGAGGUGGAGCACGCCAGAAGCACGCCGAGGCCAGGGACGCUCGAUCCCCAGCUCCCCUGGGUGCUCAGGCCUCGCUGGAUGCGUGCAGGCUGCAGCCCAGGGGGCUGUGCAGGAGGAAGAUCCGGGCUCCAGGGAGAACCUAGACAUCCCGAGGACCCGUCGGGGCCACCCGACCUGGGGACAGGCCCCAUGGGGACCCACGCACCCCUGUGCCCACUCCGACAGG